rnacentral:rRNA from 1 species
UACAGAGGUCCCAAGCGUUGUUCGGAUUCAUUGGGCGUAAAGGGUGCGUAGGCGGCGCGGUAAGUCGGGUGUGAAAUCUCGGGGCUUAACUCCGAAACUGCAUUCGAUACUGCCGUGCUUGAGGACUGGAGAGGAGACUGGAAUUUACGGUGUAGCGGUGAAAUGCGUAGAUAUCGAGAGGAACACCAGUGGCGAAGGCGAGUCUCUAGACAACUCCUGACACUGAGGCACGAAAGCUAGGGGAGCAAACAGG